rnacentral:rRNA from 1 species
AGCGAACGCUGGCGGCAGGCUUAACACAUGCAAGUCGAGCGGCCGUAGCAAUACGGCAGCGGCAGACGGGAGAGUAACACGUGGGAACGUGCCUAUCAGUUCGGAACAACCCAGGGAAACUUGGGCUAAUACCGGAUACGCCCUUACGGGGAAAGAUUUAUCGCUGAUAGAGCGGCCCGCGUCUGAUUAGCUUGUUGGUGAGGUAACGGCUCACCAAGGCGACGAUCAGUAGCUGGUCUGAGAGGAUGAUCAGCCUCACUGGGACUGAGACACGGCCCAGACUCCUACGGGAGGCAGCAGUGGGGAAUAUUGGACAAUGGGCGCAAGCCUGAUCCAGCCAUGCCGCGUGAGUGAUGAAGGCCUUAGGGUUGUAAAGCUCUUUCGUCCGGGACGAUAAUGACGGUACCGGAAGAAGAAGCCCCGGCUAACUUCGUGCCAGCAGCCGCCGUAACAC